GAAAUGAUCAAGGAAACUUGUGGCACCUUGCUCAAGUAGAGUUUGUAACAGCUGGAACAUUUCAGAUCAUUUUCGAGGGCCAAAUAGGGUCAAAUGAUGAGUCUGAUGUAGCAAUAGAUGACGUCUCACUGCAUCGUGGGUUCUGCAAAGCCCCACGGCCCCCAGUGGUUAACGAGACCAUCACGACUGCAGGCCCACGGCCCCCAGUGGUUAACGAGACCAUCACGAC